CCUACGGGAGGCAGCAGUGAGGAAUAUUGGUCAAUGGACGAGAGUCUGAACCAGCCAAGUAGCGUGAAGGAUGACUGCCCUACGGGUUGUAAACUUCUUUUAUAUGGGAAUAAAACAGGGCAUGCAUGCCUUUUUGUAUGUACUUUAUGAAUAAGGAUCGGCUAACUCCGUGCCAGCAGCCGCGGUAAUACGGAGGAUCCGAGCGUUAUCCGGAUUUAUUGGGUUUAAAGGGAGCGUAGAUGGGUUGUUAAGUCAGUUGUGAAAGUUUGCGGCUCAACCGUAAAAUUGCAGUUGAUACUGGCAGUCUUGAGUACAGUAGAGGUAGGCGGAAUUCGUGGUGUAGCGGUGAAAUGCUUAGAUAUCACGAAGAACUCCGAUUGCGAAGGCAGCUUACUAAACUGUAACUGACACUGAUGCUCGAAAGUGUGGGUAUCAAACAGGAUUAGAUACCCGAGUAGUC
rnacentral:rRNA from 1 species